CCUCGCUGUCUCCCCGCAACCUACCCCUCUGCCCGUGUCAUCCUGGGGGCAGCCCCACUGUCUCCCUAAGUCCUACAGGUCAAAGACAUCAUUCUGGAUCUCUCCCUCCCUUUACCACCUCACUACCAGCCCAUCGGUCCAAUUCCAGGCUCAGUCACACACCUUUCCCCACAACCUUUACAAGAAAUGGCUUGGUCCACAGGAGCAGAGGCCAGAAGCAGUAAAGAC